rnacentral:lncRNA from 1 species
UUAUGACGAGGAAUUGGUGUGUAGUUUAGGGUUGGACGAAGAUAUGGUUGUUGUUGAGUUUAAUAUGUGUAGUGUAUUGGUUGUUGGGGUGUUUGAUAGGUUAAACUUGUUGGUUGUUGUUGUAUUUUUAAUGUGUAGUUAGUUUGUUUGGAUGUGGUGUAUUGUGUUUGCUGUUGGAAUUGAUGAUUGUAUGAUUGUUGUUGUUGUG